GAGAGUUUGAUCCUGGCUCAGGAUGAACGCUGGCGGCGUGCCUAACACAUUCAAGUCGAACGGUGAAGCACCUUCGGGUGCGGAUCAGUGGCGGAC
rnacentral:rRNA from 1 species